UACGGGGGGGUAAGCGUUGUUCGGAAUUACUGGGCGUAAAGGGCGCGUAGGCGGUUCGUUAAGUCCUGUGUGAAAUCCCCCGGCUCAACUGGGGAACUGCACAGGAAACUAGCGGGCUUGAGUUCGGGAGAGGGAAGCGGAAUUCCGGGUGUAGUGGUGAAAUGCGUAGAUAUCCGGAGGAACACCGGUGGCGAAGGCGGCUUCCUGGACCGACACUGACGCUGAGGCGCGAAAGCUAGGGGAGCAAACGGG
rnacentral:rRNA from 1 species